rnacentral:rRNA from 1 species
UACGAAGGGGGCUAGCGUUGUUCGGAAUUACUGGGCGUAAAGCGCACGUAGGCGGUUUUCCAAGUUGGAGGUGAAAUCCCCGGGCUUAACCUGGGAACUGCCUCCAAAACUGGAAGACUCGAGUCCGAGAGAGGUGAGUGGAAUUUCCAGUGUAGAGGUGAAAUUCGUAGAUAUUGGAAAGAACACCAGUGGCGAAGGCGGCUCACUGGCUCGGUACUGACGCUGAGGAGCGACAGCGUGGGGAGCAAACAGG